ensembl:lncRNA
UUUAAUUUCUAAACAAAUUCCCAAGCAUGGUUUUCCUUAACUUUCGACAAAAAGGUCUCUAGGAUACGAAUAUAAACAUUUUUCCUUUAACAUGUGGACAGUCAGCACCGUGAAGAUUUCAGGAACGCGCGGCAUGUUGGGAUGUACUGUUUUAUUAACAGCGUCACAAAACCAGCAGUCGCUGAAUGCACGCUGUAGCUGAAGGCCGUCUCACCGUGGACAGGUGCGCUGCCUCUCUGCGCAUGCGCAGUCCUCCCGGCUCGGCAAGUUAGUGUUAAAAUGGCGGCGGCCGCAGCGGAGCAGGUAACGCAACCUGUGUAAUCUCAACUGCCGCUCGGCGUCACUUCAACUCGGGCGGUGCUGCUGGAGGAAAAGUGGACGAGUGUGGAUUUAUUUCUCGGAGCCUGUCAGUAAAAGUGCGUGUGUGCGUGUGUGUGUGUGUGUGUGAGAGGGAAGUAGCGCUGUGAUGAAGAAGCAGGAACAGAAAUGCACAGAUGAGUGAAGUUCAAACUGAACGGAAGUGAACUUCACAUGCCUCCUCCCCGCCGCGGCUCGGGGUCAUUAGAACGCGCAUUAGAGCGUUAUUAACGCGACCUUAUGCAGUUUAGGCCGGAGGGGUAACUCCUGCUCUCAAGUUCAUGCCGGGUUUCUGUGUGUGAAGAGAAGCGCCGAGUCCGAGACACAAACACACACAGAGAGAGAGAGAGAGAGAGAGAGAGAGAGAGGUGAAGUCUGUCCAUCAUCAUCAUCAUCAUCAUCAUCAUCAUCAUCAUCAUGGACAGGAAGGUGCAGAUAAGAUGUGUAGAAGUGUUAUAAAGCAACACAACACGGAAGAAGGGAUGGACACAGAAGAUACGAUGAGAAACCCGGAUGGAAAAGGUGUGUGUGUGUGUGUGUGUGUGUGUGAAAGGCAUGAAUGGGCACGGCAUGUGUUUAAUCGUCAUACUGACGUCAUCUGUGUAUAUGGAUGUUGGACACUUGUGAUACUAUUGUACUAAGUGUGUGGAGAGCACGUGCAACAGGUGUGUGAUCAUUAUACUGAAUGUAGGGAUGUGAGACAGGUGUGUGAUCAUUAUACUGAAUGUAGGGAUGUGAGACAGGUGUGUGAUCAUUAUACUGAAUGUAGGGAUGUGAGACAGGUGUGUGAUCAUUAUACUGAAUGUAGGGAUGUGAGACAGGUGUGUGAUCAUUAUACUGAAUGUAGGGAUGUGAGACAGGUGUGAUGGUUAUACUGAAUGUAGGGAUGUGAGACGGGUGUGAUGGUUAUACUGAAUGUAGGGAUGUGAGACGGGCGUGUAACGGUUAUACUGAAUGUAGGGAUGUGAGACGGGUGUGUGAUGGUUAUACUGAAUGUCGGGAUGUGAGACAGGUGUGAUGGUUAUACUGAACGUCGGGAUGUGAGACGGGCGCGUGACGGUUAUACUGAAUGUAGGGAUGUGAGACGGGCGCGUGACGGUUAUACUGAAUGUAGGGAUGUGAGACGGGCGUGUGCUGGUUAUACUGAAUGUAGGGAUGUGAGACGGGCGUGUGACGGUUAUACUGAACGUCAGGAUGUGAGACAGGUGUGUGACGGUUAUAUUGAACGUCGGGAUGUGAGACGGGUGUGUGCUGGUUAUAUUGAACGUCGGGAUGUGAGACGGGCGUGUGAUGGUUAUACUGAAUGUAGGGAUGUGAGACGGGUGUGUGACGGUUAUACUGAAUGUCGGGAUGUGAGACGGGCGUGUGACGGUUAUACUGAAUGUAGGGAUGUGAGACGGGCGUGUGAUGGUUAUACUGAAUGUAGGGAUGUGAGACAGGUGUGUGAUCAUCAUUAUACUGAAUGUAGGGAUGUGAGACGGGUGUGUGCUGGUUAUAUUGAAUGUAGGGAUGUGAGACGGGCGUGUGACGGUUAUACUGAACGUCAGGAUGUGAGACAGGUGUGUGACGGUUCUAUUGAACGUCGGGAUGUGAGACAGGUGUGUGCUGGUUAUAUUGAACGUCGGGAUGUGAGACGGGUGUGUGCUGGUUAUAUUGAACGUCGGGAUGUGAGACGGGUGUGUGACGGUUAUACUGAAUGUAGGGAUGUGAGACGGGUGUGUGCUGGUUAUAUUGAACGUCGGGAUGUGAGACAGGUGUGUGACGGUUAUAUUGAACGUCG